CAGAAUUCUGAGGAACGUGUUGUUCUUUUGACUGGUCUUCUGCACUAGCGAACUUACCUACUUUCUCAGUCAGGCAGAACAGCUUUGUCUAGAAGAUCCCUAUCAGACAACUGUGGCCUUGGCAACUGACCUCUACUGUGUUCUCCAGUCUGGCAGACUGUAUGGAUCAUCCGGUCAGGACUGUGCCUCUCCACUGCAAUAGCACCAGGCUUAAGCACUCCAUGACACUGGGGCCAGGAGAAACAACAAGGUUGCCUUGAGACACAGGAGUCUGGGCUAGCUACCAAAUUCACUCUAGGGUAGAAACCGAGUUUGUAGAUUUUAAAUUCUAAGCAAAGGAGAGCAGAAUCAUUUCAUGUUCUGUGCAUUCAGAAGCUUACGUUAACCUUAAAUGCAGGAAGAUAGUACCUCUCUAGGAAAAAUAGGAGAGAGAAAGCCACAAAGUGAGACAAGGAUUCCGUUCUUCACUCAGAGUGACUGCUAGUUCCAGAGGUGAAAGGGGAAUCCACGUGAUGCAUCGAGAAAGUCUUAUGACAGAAAAAUUUAACGUAAUCAAAGAUUAUUAAGAAUGGAGCAUAAAGGAUAAAGAAGAUACAAAGUGUGACCUUGCAUGUAUGGGCAGCAAAAGGAGCUAGCUAAUCCAAAAUGCUUUACACUCAUGGAAAUGAAGCAGUGCAUUAUAAUUGUUGAGGAAAAUUGGGAUUUGCAUAGUCUUCUAUCCGAGGAAAAUCAGGAUUUGCAUAGUCUUCACAUGCAUCCCAGGAGUUUUCUUUUCAACACAGAGAACUGUGCUGCACUCCAGUUGGAGAGACAGCACAGGCUUUGCCUUUGUCAAGUAUUGUAAAGUCAGUCUCAGCAAGAGUCCGAACAUCAACCUUGUGAUCCUGGGAUAUGGCGCACCCUGCAGAGAGCAAAGCAGUCCACAGGACUCCUGGCAAAGCUGUAUGGCAUCUGUCCAGUGGAAAAGUACACUGGACGACCCAAACUGAAGGACAUUCUACAAAUCAAAUGGCCAAGUCUUCCCUAAGUAUAGGCCAAGGAAUGAUACAAAAGAGGGGACCAAGCUGCUUCAAUAAAAUCUUUAUUUAAUAACUAUUAUUACA
rnacentral:lncRNA from 1 species